GAUGAACGCUGGCGGCGUGCCUAAUACAUGCAAGUCGAGCGAAUGGAUUAAGAGCUUGCUCUUAUGAAGUUAGCGGCGGACGGGUGAGUAACACGUGGGUAACCUGCCCAUAAGACUGGGAUAACUCCGGGAAACCGGGGCUAGUACCGGAUAACAUUUUGAACCGCAUGGUUCGAAAUUGAAAGGCGGCUUCGGCUGUCACUUAUGGAUGGACCCGCGUCGCAUUAGCCAGUUGGUGAGGUAACGGCUCACCAAGGCAACGAUGCGUAGCCGCCCUGGGAGGGUGGUCGGCCACACUGGGACUGAGACACGGCCCAGACUCCGACGGGAGGCAGCAGUAGGGAAUCUUCCGCAAUGGACGAAAGUCUGACGGAGCAACGCCGCGUGAGGGAUGAAGGCUUUCGGGUCGUAAAACUCUGUUGUUAGGGAAGAACAAGUGCUAGUUGAAUAAGCUGGCACCUUGACGGUACCUAACCAGAAAGCCACGGCUAACUACGUGCCAGCCGCCGCCGUAA
rnacentral:rRNA from 1 species